ACCAGCCACCACAAUGAGAAGCAACAUGUUAAUAUACUGGAAAUUUUUGGCUGCCAGUGCUGAGCUUGGAUAGAAAAUCAUAAUGGUUCUCCUUGGAUUAAAGCAUGAUGGUGCCCAUCAAACUGUGGUUUCAAAUGAAGUGCUGUUUACAUGCUGGGCAUAUCAUCAUCAGUAGACAGAUCAUCAACUGACCAUUGGCAGACCAUCAAUGGACCAUCUUUCUCCAUCAGCCUUUUGAGAUGUGUUGCUAGAUGAAGCCAUCUUGACUUAGCUCAGACCAUCUUAUAGAGCCUCUUCCAUUCACCUACCCUGGUAGAAGAUAAAGGCACAGCCAUGUCGACCAGAAGCCUGGGAACUGAGAACCCAUUAUCUUCUCUUCUUAUACAUCACUUCUGUUGAGAUAGUUUGCUACAUGUCUUGGGCCCCAGCCAAUAGAAGGAUGCCACCUAUAUUCAAGAUCAGUCUUUCCUUCCAAUUUAAACUUCUCUGGAAACAAUCUGAACUUUUUGUAUUUUCACAAUUGUAACCUUUGAUGGAUGGGGUCUUGUCAAGACAUCUAUUAUUAUCCAGAUGGAUCUCAAACAAAGGUUUGGUGCUACCCACUUUCAAGGAUAAUAGAUUGAUAAUUACAGCUAAAUCAUUAAAAUGCUCACCACAACAUCACUGGUGACUCAAAAAUCUGCAUUCCUGAAACUCCCUGGAAGACUUACUGAUAACUAAGCUGAACAGAGCAGUUGUUCACCCCAGAAAUUAUCACUGAUUUUGGAAAGGACUUAAUGUAAGUUUUAGGAACUUCCUGAGAUUUAUGAGUUGUUUAUUUCCAUGGCUUUGUUUUGUUGACAAUCUGAGUCUUAAAGAGUCUAUGUUUGAUGGGAUGUUUCAAUUUGGGGAAAACUGCUAUGCACUAAUAGUAAAUAAAUGAAGGGAAAUUAAAGUGUGGUUUCUCAGAAUCAUUUUAACUUAACAUCUGUAACACUGCCCUUCCUCAAAAUGUGAUCACUAUGCCCAGGUAUCAAAGAAUAGGACUUCAACUUUUAAAUUUCGGAGGGAUGUAAUUUAAUCUGAAACAUAUCUACAGUCCAGAGGUUUGGGGAAAGAAUGUGUCUUUCAUCAUUUGAGAUAAUUUACUCAUUUUCACAGAGAUUCUAGGUAUGUUUGAAGUGUUUUUUAAAGGGGGAGGAGUUAUGAAGGGGUUGUAUCUACUUCAUGAAUCAGAAUAUCAUGUGACAUUAUCCAAAUAAAACAGAAAUGACUACAUGUAGAGCAGUCUGAAUGCUCAAAGUGUAUUUGGGUGAAGGAGGCAUACAUUUUUUAUUUUUUACAGGCUGAAGGAUGGAUAAACUAAGAGUUAUUGAGGACCUUGUUCAAAGAGCACCUAUCAGAUAAGAAGCAUCUUUAGAACAGAUAGCUGGAGGUAAAAUAUGAGAUUUCUAAGGACUGUGGAAAGGGAGAAAGUGAUUAUGCAGAAAUAGACACUAUAUUUCAGCGUUAAGAUUAAAAGAUUGCAGGAGAUAAAUUAUCAUCGGUAAAAACAAACAAACCAACAAAGAUUAAAAUAUUCACAAGAAAGAGUCUAUUUAAAUUGUGAGCUCAUAAACAGUAGAAAAUUGAAAGCCUUCUAUUUGUCUCCCUGGUCCUUAUUCUUAAAGAGCAGAAAGCUGUUGUUAUAAUGAGAGUACUAUAACCAGGGCAGGAAGCUCCUCCUCAUCUCAUCCCAAGCCUAUCCUCACAGUGAGAACAGGGAGAAGGGCUCACAUCCUAAGCCUA